AUUGAACGCUGGCGGCAGGCUUAACACAUGCAAGUCGAGCGAGCGGCGGACGGGUGAGUAAUGUCUGGGACACUGCCUGAUGGAGGGGGAUAACUAACGGAAACGGUAGCUAAUACCGCAUACCAUCAGAUGUGCCCAGAUGGGAUUAGCUAGUAGGUGGGGUAAUGGCUGACCUAGGCGCCGAUCCGUAGCUGGUCUGAGAGGAUGAACAGCCACACUGGAACUGAGAAACGGUCCAGAAUCCUACGGGAGGCAGCAGUGGGGAAUAUUGGACAAUGGGCGCAAGCCUGAUGCAGCCAUGCCGCGUGUAUGAAGAAGGCCUUCGGGUUGUAAAGUACUUUCAGCGGGGAGGCGUUACCCGCAGAAGAAGCACCGGCUAACUCCGUGCCAGCAGCCGCGGUAAUAC
rnacentral:rRNA from 1 species